rnacentral:rRNA from 1 species
AAACUAACAAGGAUUCCCCUAGUAACGGCGAGUGAACCGGGAAGAGCUCAAAUUUGAAAUCUGGCGUGCUCAGUGCGUCCGAGUUGUAAUCUAUAGAGGCGUUUUCCGUGCCGGACUGUGUCCAAGUCCCUUGGAACAGGGUAUCAAAGAGGGUGAUAAUCCCGUACUUGACACAAUGACCGGUGCUCUGUGAUACGUCUUCUACGAGUCGAGUUGUUUGGGAAUGCAGCUCAAAAUGGGUGGUGAGUUCCAUCUAAAGCUAAAUAUUGGCGAGAGACCGAUAGCGAACAAGUACCGUGAGGGAAAGAUGAAAAGCACUUUGGAAAGAGAGUUAAACAGUACGUGAAAUUGUUAAAAGGGAAACGAUUGAAGUCAGUCGUGACUGAGAGGCUCAGCCGGUUCUGCCGGUGUAUUCCCCUCAGUCGGGUCAACAUCAGUUUUGUUCGGUGGAUAAGGGCAGCUGGAAGGUAGCACCCUCGGGUGUGUUAUAGCCAGUUGUCGCAUACAUCGGAUGAGACUGAGGAAUGCAGCUCGCCUUUAUGGCCGGGGUUCGCCCACGUUCGAGCUUAGGAUGUUGACAUAAUGGCUUUAAACGAC